GGACUACUAGGGUAUCUAAUCCCGUUUGCUCCCCUGGCUUUCGCGCCUCAGCGUCAGAAGAGGUCCAGCGUGCCGCCUUCGCCACCGGAGUUCCUGAUGAUAUCAACGCAUUUCACCGCUCCACCAUCAGUUCCGCACGCCCCUACCUCGCUCGAGGCCCGCAGUAUCCACGGCAGUUCCCCGGUUGGGCCGGGGGAUUUCACCACAGACUUGCGAGCCCGCCUACGCGCCCUUUAAGCCCAGUGAUUCCGAACAACGUUCGCUCGGUUCGUCUUACCGCGGCUGCUGGCAC
rnacentral:rRNA from 3 species